rnacentral:rRNA from 1 species
UACGUAGGGUGCGAGCGUUGUCCGGAAUUACUGGGCGUAAAGAGCUCGUAGGUGGUUUGUCGCGUUGUCCGUGAAAACUCACAACUCAAUUGUGGGCGUGCGGGCGAUACGGGCAGACUGGAGUACUGCAGGGGAGACUGGAAUUCCUGGUGUAGCGGUGAAAUGCGCAGAUAUCAGGAGGAACACCGGUGGCGAAGGCAGGUCUCUGGGCUGACACUGACGCUCAUGCACGAAAGCGUGGGGAGCAAACAGG